UAUACAAGGUGCUGCAUGGUUGUCGUCAGCUCGUGCCGUGAGGUGUCGGGUUAAGUCCCAUAACGAGCGCAACCCCUACCUUUAGUUGCCAUCAGGUAAUGCUGGGGACUCUAAAGGAACUGCCUACGCAAGUAGUGAGGAAGCGGGGAUGACGGUCAAAUCAGCACGGCCCUUACGUCCAGGGCUACACACGUGCUACAAUGGCCGAUACAGAGGGCAAGCUACCUGGUGACAGGAUGCAAAUCUCCAAAAGUCGGUCUCAGUUCGGAUCGGAGUCUGCAACCCGACUCCGUGAAGUUGGAUUCGCUAGUAAUCGCGCAUCAGCCAUGGCGCGGUGAAUACGUUCCCGGGCCUU
rnacentral:rRNA from 1 species